rnacentral:rRNA from 1 species
UACAGAGGUCCCAAGCGUUGUUCGGAUUCACUGGGCGUAAAGGGUGCGUAGGUGGCGGGGUAAGUUUGAUGUGAAAGCUCAGGGCUUAACCCUGAAAUGGCAUUGAAUACUACUCUGCUGGAGGUUUGGAGGGGGGACUGGAAUUCUUGGUGUAGCAGUGAAAUGCGUAGAUAUCAAGAGGAACACCAGUGGCGAAGGCGAGUCCCUGGACAAUACCUGACACUGAGGCACGAAAGCCAAGGGAGCAAACAGG